rnacentral:rRNA from 1 species
UGAGGAAUAUUGCGCAAUGGACGAAAGUCUGACGCAGCGACGCCGCGUGGAGGAUGAAGGUCUUCGGAUUGUAAACUCCUUUCGGUUGGGAAGAAAGACCUGGUGGUAAUAUAACCAGGGGAUGACAGUACCGGCAAAAGAAGCACCGGCUAACUUCGUGCCAGCAGCCGCGGUAAUACGAGGGGUGCAAGCGUUAUUCGGAAUUAUUGGGCGUAAAGGGUGUGUAGGUGGCGUAUUAAGUCUCUCGUUUAAUUUCUUGGCCUAACUGAGAGUUCGCGAUAGAAACUGAUAUGCUUGAGUGUGAGAGAGAGAAGUGGAAUUCUUGGAGUAGCGGUUAAAUGCGUAGAUAUCAAGAGGAACACCGAUGGCGAAAGCAGCUUCUUGGCUCAUUACUGACACUGAAACACGAAAGCGUGGGGAGCAAACA